UCCAGACUCCUACGGGAGGCAGCAGUGGGGAAUAUUGGGCAAUGGGCGCAAGCCUGACCCAGCAACGCCGCGUGAAGGAAGAAGGCUUUCGGGUUGUAAACUUCUUUUCUCAGGGACGAAUAGAUGACGGUACCUGAAGAAAAAGCAUCGGCUAACUCCGUGCCAGCAGCCGCGGUAAUACGGAGGAUGCGAGCGUUAUCCGGAUUUAUUGGGUUUAAAGGGUGCGUAGGCGGAAUAUCAAGUCAGCGGUAAAAAUUCGGGGCUCAACCCCGUCGUGCCGUGGAAACUGAUGUUCUUGAGUGGGCGAGAAGUAUGCGGAAUGCGUGGUGUAGCGGUGAAAUGCAUAGAUAUCACGCAGAACUCCGAUUGCGAAGGCAGCAUACCGGCGCCCAACUGACGCUGAAGCACGAAAGCGUGGGUAUCGAACAGGAUUAGAUACCCUCGUAA
rnacentral:rRNA from 1 species